GCUAUAAUUGUCAGCUAAGUGGCGCACGGGUGAGUAAUGUAUAGAUAACCUGCCCUUAAGAAAGGAAUAACAGUUGGAAACGACUGCUAAUGCCCUAUAUGCCUUUAAUACAUAAGUAUGCAAGGGAAACGCUUUAGUGCUCAAGGAUGGGUCUGUAUGGUAUCAGCUUGUUGGUGAGGUAAUGGCUCACCAAGGCUAUGACGCCUAACUGGUUUGAGAGGAUGAUCAGUCACACUGGAACUGAGACACGGUCCAGACUCCUACGGGAGGCAGCAGUGGGGAAUAUUGCACAAUGGACGAAAGUCUGAUGCAGCAACGCCGCGUGGAGGAUGACACAUUUCGGUGCGUAAACUCCUUUUAUAUAGGAAGAUAAUGACGGUACUAUAUGAAUAAGCACCGGCUAACUCCGUGCCAGCAGCCGCGGUAAUACGGAGGGUGCAGGCGUUACUCGGAAUCACUGGGCGUAAAGAGCGUGUAGGCGGGUAUAUAAGUCAGAAGUGAAAUCCAAUAGCUCAACUAUUGAACUGCUUUUGAAACUGUAUACCUAGAAUGUGGGAGAGGUAGAUGGAAUUUCUGGUGUAGGGGUAAAAUCCGUAGAGA
rnacentral:rRNA from 1 species